rnacentral:rRNA from 1 species
UACGUAGGGUGCAAGCGUUGUCCGGAAUUAUUGGGCGUAAAGAGCUUGUAGGCGGUUUGUCGCGUCUGCUGUGAAAUUUCGGGGCUCAACCCCGAACUUGCAGUGGGUACGGGCAGACUAGAGUGUGGUAGGGGAGACUGGAAUUCCUGGUGUAGCGGUGAAAUGCGCAGAUAUCAGGAGGAACACCGGUGGCGAAGGCGGGUCUCUGGGCCGUAACUGACGCUGAGGCGCGAAAGCUAGGGGAGCAAACGGG